rnacentral:tRNA from 1 species
GCGGAUUUAGCUCAGUUGGGAGAGCGCCAGACUGAAGAUCUGAAGGUCCUGUGUUCGAUCCACAGAAUUCGCA